rnacentral:lncRNA from 1 species
UGAAGGAGUGCAUCAGGGCCCUGGGACAGAACAAGGCUCACACCCCGUUCCGUGAGAGCAAGCUGACACAGGUGCUGAGGGACUCCUUCAUUGGGGAGAACUCUAGGACUUGCAUGAUUGCCACGAUCUCACCAGGCAUAAGCUCCUGUGAAUAUACUUUAAACACCCUGAGAUAUGCAGACAGGCAAGGUUGCCAUUCCAUCCCCUUGGAGCCUCAAGCCUCGAAGCCUGGGCGGUGCCACAUUCCUCUGUUAUCCAAGGAAGAGGAGGAACUGUCUUCCCAGAUGUCCAGCUUUAACGAAGCCAUGACUCAGAUCAGG